rnacentral:tRNA from 1 species
CACGCCGAAGCUCAAGAGGAUGAGCGGUCGUCUCCUACACGACAGGCUGUGAGUUCGAGUCUCACGGGCGUGACCA